rnacentral:rRNA from 1 species
AACAGGGAUUACCUCAGUAACGGCGAGUGAAGCGGUAACAGCUCAAAUUUGAAAUCUGGCUCUUUCAGGGUCCGAGUUGUAAUUUGUAGAAGAUGUUUCGGGUGUGGCUCCGGUCUAAGUUCCUUGGAACAGGACGUCGUAGAGGGUGAGAAUCCCGUAUGUGACUGGCUGCCUCCGCCCAUGUGAAACUCUUUCGACGAGUCGAGUUGUUUGGGAAUGCAGCUCAAAAUGGGUGGUAAAUUUCAUCUAAAGCUAAAUAUUGGCCAGAGACCGAUAGCGCACAAGUAGAGUGAUCGAAAGAUGAAAAGCACUUUGGAAAGAGAGUUAAACAGUACGUGAAAUUGUUGAAAGGGAAGCGCUUGCAAUCAGACUUGCGCGCGGCCGAUCAUCCGGGGUUCUCCCCGGUGCACUCGGUCGCGUUCAGGCCAGCAUCGGUUUGGGUGGUGGGAUAAAGGCCUUGGGAAUGUAGCUUCUUUCGGGGAGUGUUAUAGCCCUCGGUGCAAUGCCGCCUAUCCAGACCGAGGACCGCGCUUCGGCUAGGAUGCUGGCGUAAUGGUUGUAAGCGACCCGUCUUGAAACACGGACCAAGGAGUCUAACACUUAUGCGAGUAUUUGGGUGUCAAACCCAUAUGCGUAAUGAAAGUGAACGGAGGUGAGAACCCUUAAGGGUGCAUCAUCGACCGGUCCUGAUGUCUUCGGAUGGAUCUGAGUAAGAGCAUAAUUGUUAGGACCCGAAAGAAGGUGAACUAUGCCUGAAUAGGGUGAAGCCAGAGGAAACUCUGGUGGA